rnacentral:rRNA from 1 species
UACGGAGGGUGCAAGCGUUAAUCGGAAUUACUGGCGUAAAGCGUGCGUAGGCGGUUCGUUAAGUCUGUUGUGAAAGCCCCGGGCUCAACCUGGGAAUGGCAAUGGAUACUGGCGAGCUAGAGUGUGUCAGAGGAUGGUGGAAUUCCCGGUGUAGCGGUGAAAUGCGUAGAGAUCGGGAGGAACAUCAGUGGCGAAGGCGGCCAUCUGGGACAACACUGACGCUGGAGGCACGAAAGCGUGGGGAGCAAACAGGAUUAGAUACCCGUGG